GGUUAAGCGACUAAGCGUACACGGUGGAUGCCCUGGCAGUCAGAGGCGAUGAAGGACGUGCUAAUCUGCGAAAAGCGUCGGUAAGGUGAUAUGAACCGUUAUAGCCGGCGAUGUCCGAAUGGGGAAACCCAGUGCAAUUCGUUGCACUAUCGUUAACUGAAUACAUAGGUUAACGAGGCGAACCGGGGGAACUGAAACAUCUAAGUACCCCGAGGAAAAGAAAUCAACCGAGAUUCCCCCAGUAGCGGCGAGCGAACGGGGAGCAGCCCGGAGUCUGAAUCAGCUUGUGUGUUAGUGGAAGCGUCUGGAAAGUCGCAGGGUACAGGGUGAUACUCCCGUACACUAAAACACACAGGCUGUGAACUCGAAGAGUAGGGCGGGACACGUGGUAUCCUGUCUGAAUAUGGGGGGACCAUCCUCCAAGGCUAAAUACUCCUGACUGACCGAUAGUGAACCAGUACCGUGAGGGAAAGGCGAAAAGAACCCCGGCGAGGGGAGUGAAAAAGAACCUGAAACCGUGUACGUACAAGCAGUAGGAGCCCACUAGUUGGGUGACUGCGUACCUUUUGUAUAAUGGGUCAGCGACUUAUAUUCUGUAGCAAGGUUAACCGAAUAGGGGAGCCGCAGGGAAACCGAGUCUUAACUGGGCGUUAAGUUGCAGGGUAUAGACCCGAAACCCGGUGAUCUAGCCAUGGGCAGGUUGAAGGUUGGGUAACACUAACUGGAGGACCGAACCGACUAAUGUUGAAAAAUUAGCGGAUGACUUGUGGCUGGGGGUGAAAGGCCAAUCAAACCGGGAGAUAGCUGGUUCUCCCCGAAAGCUAUUUAGGUAGCGCCUCGUGAACUCAUCUUCGGGGGUAGAGCACUGUUUCGGCUAGGGGGUCAUCCCGACUUACCAACCCGAUGCAAACUACGAAUACCGAAGAAUGUUAUCACGGGAGACACACGGCGGGUGCUAACGUCCGUCGUGAAGAGGGAAACAACCCAGACCGCCAGCUAAGGUCCCAAAGUCAUGGUUAAGUGGGAAACGAUGUGGGAAGGCCCAGACAGCCAGGAUGUUGGCUUAGAAGCAGCCAUCAUUUAAAGAAAGCGUAAUAGCUCACUGGUCGAGUCGGCCUGCGCGGAAGAUGUAACGGGGCUAAACCAUGCACCGAAGCUGCGGCAGCGACACUAUGUGUUGUUGGGUAGGGGAGCGUUCUGUAAGCCGUUGAAGGUGGCCUGUGAGGGUUGCUGGAGGUAUCAGAAGUGCGAAUGCUGACAUAAGUAACGAUAAUGCGGGUGAAAAACCCGCACGCCGGAAGACCAAGGGUUCCUGUCCAACGUUAAUCGGGGCAGGGUGAGUCGACCCCUAAGGCGAGGCCGAAAGGCGUAGUCGAUGGGAAACAGGUUAAUAUUCCUGUACUUGGUGUUACUGCGAAGGGGGGACGGAGAAGGCUAUGUUGGCCGGGCGACGGUUGUCCCGGUUUAAGCAUGUAGGCGGAUGUUCCAGGUAAAUCCGGAACGUUACUAACGCUGAGGUGUGAUGACGAGGCACUACGGUGCUGAAGUGACAAAUGCCCUGCUUCCAGGAAAAGCCUCUAAGCAUCAGGUAACAUCAAAUCGUACCCCAAACCGACACAGGUGGUCAGGUAGAGAAUACCAAGGCGCUUGAGAGAACUCGGGUGAAGGAACUAGGCAAAAUGGUGCCGUAACUUCGGGAGAAGGCACGCUGAUGGUAAGUGAAGUGACUUGCUCAUGGAGCUGAAAUCAGUCGAAGAUACCAGCUGGCUGCAACUGUUUAUUAAAAACACAGCACUGUGCAAACACGAAAGUGGACGUAUACGGUGUGACGCCUGCCCGGUGCCGGAAGGUUAAUUGAUGGGGUUAUCCUCACGGAGAAGCUCUUGAUCGAAGCCCCGGUAAACGGCGGCCGUAACUAUAACGGUCCUAAGGUAGCGAAAUUCCUUGUCGGGUAAGUUCCGACCUGCACGAAUGGCGUAAUGAUGGCCAGGCUGUCUCCACCCGAGACUCAGUGAAAUUGAACUCGCUGUGAAGAUGCAGUGUACCCGCGGCAAGACGGAAAGACCCCGUGAACCUUUACUAUAGCUUGACACUGAACACUGGUCCUUGAUGUGUAGGAUAGGUGGGAGGCUUUGAAGUGUGGACGCCAGUCUGCAUGGAGCCAUCCUUGAAAUACCACCCUUUAAUGGCUGGUGUUCUAACGUGGGCCCGUGAUCCGGGUUGCGGACAGUGUCUGGUGGGUAGUUUGACUGGGGCGGUCUCCUCCUAAAGAGUAACGGAGGAGCACGAAGGUCAGCUAAUCCUGGUCGGACAUCAGGAGGUUAGUGCAAUGGCAUAAGCUGGCUUGACUGCGAGCGUGACGGCGCGAGCAGGUGCGAAAGCAGGUCAUAGUGAUCCGGUGGUUCUGAAUGGAAGGGCCAUCGCUCAACGGAUAAAAGGUACUCCGGGGAUAACAGGCUGAUACCGCCCAAGAGUUCAUAUCGACGGCGGUGUUUGGCACCUCGAUGUCGGCUCAUCACAUCCUGGGGCUGAAGUAGGUCCCAAGGGUAUGGCUGUUCGCCAUUUAAAGUGGUACGCGAGCUGGGUUUAGAACGUCGUGAGACAGUUCGGUCCCUAUCUGCCGUGGGCGCUGGAGAAUUGAGGGGGGCUGCUCCUAGUACGAGAGGACCGGAGUGGACGCAUCACUGGUGUUCGGGUUGUCAUGCCAAUGGCAUUGCCCGGUAGCUAAAUGCGGAAGAGAUAAGUGCUGAAAGCAUCUAAGCACGAAACUUGCCCCGAGAUGAGUUCUCCCUGACUCCUUGAGAGUCCUGAAGGAACGUUGAAGACGACGACGUUGAUAGGCCGGGUGUGUAAGCGCAGCGAUGCGUUGAGCUAACCGGUACUAAUGAACCGUGAGGCUUAACCUU
rnacentral:rRNA from 1 species